rnacentral:rRNA from 1 species
ACUCCUACCGGGAGGCAGGCAGGUGGGAAUGAUUGCGACAAUGGGCGCAAGCCUGAUGCAGCCAUGCCGCGUGCUAGUGAAGAAGGGCCUUCGGGUUGAUGAAGUAGCGUUUAGCAGCAGUGGAGGAAGGCGGUACGUUAAUAGCGUGCUCGUUUGACGUUAGCUGCAGAAGAAGCACCGGCUAACUCCGUGCCAGCAGCCGCGGUAAUACGGAGGGUGCGAGCGUUAAUCGGAAUUACUGGGCGUAAAGCGCAUGCAGGUGGUUUGUUAAGUCAGAUGUGAAAGCCCGGGCUCAAGCCUCGGAAUAGCAUUUGAAACUGGCAGACU